rnacentral:lncRNA from 13 species
CAUCGCAAAGACUUCAACAGAACGCGGCACGCGCAUGACGGAUCGAAACCGGAGCGAGCGGCGUCGCAGCUUGUUUAAUAGAACGCGUUAGACAUUUUCACAAGACACGGGACAUAAUGAGUAGCAAUUUUAAUUGAACGUGACGGAUGCGAAAUAGAUCUGCUUCGAAACGAAAGGCAUCGCAACUGACAACUUGUGAAAAGAAGGAAGAAGAGAAGAGAAGUUAACAAUUUCAAAGUAGGAGAAGGAGGCUUAGCAUUAGGCAUCGGGCAUUGAUGGAGCAACAUAGUGAUUCAUUGUAGCUACGUUGCUGACAACUCCACUGAGCGCAUCGGGCAAUAUUCCCCGAAAUGGAAAUCAACGAGUAGAAGCCAAAUCAUCCAUCGUCGCCGAAAUAUAAAAUAAACGAACCGCACCCAGUUUGCCGCGUCGCACGUUUUAAUAUUUUGGGAGUGCCGUUCAAGUUAUCGAAUUUAGACUCUUGUAAAUGAUUAGUCCGCGGGCGAUUUUAGUAUAGUAUCGCGAGUGUUUUUUGUGAGUGUGCAACAGAAGGAAUAAAAGAGAAAGAGGCCUGCCUAUCUAAGUAUUCUGAGAGGAGGAGGGGGCCUGGG